rnacentral:misc_RNA from 1 species
UCUCCGUUGGUGAACCAGCGGAGGGAUCAUUACCGAGUUUACAACUCCCAAACCCCUGUGAACAUACCUGUUUUGUUGCUUCGGCGGUGCCCUCGCUCUCGCGGCGAGGCCCGCCAGAGGACCCCAACAAACUCUUUGACUUUGAUCUAGGAUUAUACUUCUGAGUGAUACAAAAAAUAAAAUCAAAACUUUCAACAACGGAUCUCUUGGUUCUG